rnacentral:rRNA from 1 species
UACGGGGAAGCAAGCGUUGUUCGGAUUUACUGGGCGUAAAGGGCGCGUAGGCGGCCAGCACAAGUCAGUUAGUGAAAUCUCCGAGCUUAACUCGGAACGGUCAACUGAUACUGUGCGGCUAGAGUGCAGAAGGGGCAACUGGAAUUCUUGGUGUAGCGGUGAAAUGCGUAGAUAUCAAGAGGAACACCUGCGGCGAAGGCGGGUUGCUGGGCCGACACUGACGCUGAUGCGCGAA